AACGAACGCUGGCGGCAUGCCUAACACAUGCAAGUCGAACGAGAUCUUCGGGUCUAGUGGCGCACGGGUGCGUAACGCGUGGGAAUCUGCCCUUUGGUUCGGAAUAACAGUUGGAAACGACUGCUAAUACCGGAUGAUGACGAAAGUCCAAAGAUUUAUCGCCAGAGGAUGAGCCCGCGUAGGAUUAGCUAGUUGGUGUGGUAAAGGCGCACCAAGGCGACGAUCCUUAGCUGGUCUGAGAGGAUGAUCAGCCACACUGGGACUGAGACACGGCCCAGACUCUUACGGGAGGCAGCAGUGGGGAAUAUUGGACAAUGGGCGAAAGCCUGAUCCAGCAAUGCCGCGUGAGUGAUGAAGGCCUUAGGGUUGUAAAGCUCUUUUACCCGGGGUGAUAAUGACAGUACCGGGAGAAUAAGCUCCGGCUAACUCCGUGCCAGCCGCCGCUGUAA
rnacentral:rRNA from 1 species